rnacentral:rRNA from 1 species
CCAGCUGUAAACGAUGGAUACUAGGCGUUGAGAGUAUCGACCCUCUCAGUGUCGUAGCUAACGCGUUAAGUAUCCCGCCUGGGGAGUACGCGCGCAAGCGUGAAACUCAAAGGAAUUGACGGGGGCCCGCACAAGCGGUGGAGUAUGUGGUUUAAUUCGAUGCAACGCGAAGAACCUUACCAGGGCUUGACAUGUCCGGAACCCUGCCCAAAGGCGGGGGUGCCUACGGGAACCGGAACACAGGUGGUGC